rnacentral:rRNA from 1 species
GAUGAACGCUAGCGGCAGGCCUAAUACAUGCAAGUCGGACGGGAUCCAUCUGCGAGCUUGCUCAAGGGUGGUGAGAGUGGCGCACGGGUGCGUAACGCGUGAGCAACCUGCCCAUAUCAGGGGGAUAGCCCGGAGAAAUCCGGAUUAACACCGCAUGAGAAUACAGAACGGCAUCGUUAAGUAUUUAAAUAUUUAUAGGAUAUGGAUGGGCUCGCGUGACAUUAGCUGGUUGGUGGGGUAACGGCCCACCAAGGCGACGAUGUCUAGGGGCUCUGAGAGGAGAAUCCCCCACACUGGUACUGAGACACGGACCAG